rnacentral:rRNA from 1 species
GUGCCAGCAGCCGCGGUAAUACGAAGGGUGCAAGCGUUGUUCGGAUUUAUUGGGCGUAAAGCGCGCGCAGGCGGACAGUUAAGCCAGAUGUGAAAUCCCGGGGCUCAACCUCGGAACUGCGUCUGGAACUGGUUGUCUAGAGUCUCGGAGGGGGAAGGGGAAUUUCGCAUGUAGGGGUAAAAUCCGUAGAGAUGCGAAGGAACACCAGUGGCGAGGGCGCCUUCCUGGACGAGUACUGACGCUGAGGCGCGAAAGCGUGGGGAGCAAACAGGAUUAGAAACCCCAGUAGUCC